AUACGUAGGGGGCGAGCGUUGUCCGGAAUGACUGGGCGUAAAGGGCGUGUAGGCGGCCUGAUAAGUUUGGAGUGAAAGUCCUGUUUUCAAGAUGGGAAUUGCUUUGGAUACUGUCGGGCUUGAGUGCGGAAGAGGUAAGCGGAAUUCCCAGUGUAGCGGUGAAAUGCGUAGAGAUUGGGAGGAACACCAGUGGCGAAGGCGGCUUACUGGACUGUAACUGACGCUGAGGCGCGAAAGUGUGGGGAGCAAACAGGAUUAGAUACCCUGGUAGUCCACACUGUAAACGAUGAAUGCUAGGUGUAGGGGGUAUCGACCCCUUCUGUGCCGCAGUCAACACAAUAAGCAUUCCGCCUGGGGAGUACGGCCGCAAGGUUGAAACUCAAAGGAAUUGACGGGG
rnacentral:rRNA from 1 species